UACAGAGGGUGCAAGCGUUAUUCGGAUUUACUGGGCGUAAAGCGUGCGCAGGCGGUUAUGUAAGACAGAUGUGAAAUCCCCGGGCUCAACCUGGGAACUGCAUUAGUGACUGCAUAGCUGGAGUACGGCAGAGGGGGAUGGAAUUCCGCGUGUAGCAGUGAAAUGCGUAGAUAUUCGGAGGAACACCGAUGGCGAAGGCAAUCCCCUGGGCCUGUACUGACGCUCAUGCACGAAAGCGUGGGGAGCAAACAGGAUUAGAUA
rnacentral:rRNA from 1 species